UGUGUGAGUACAGCCCCCUUCACAAUAAUUGAGUGCGUCUACUCCUGCGCUCCCCUGAGGCUGAACAGAAGAAACCGCAACGCAGGGAAGUGCAGGAAAAACUGCCCGUGUGUAAGUGUUAAGGAUUGAUGCAAUGAUGGAGCAACUCUGUCCCUUUAAAACGGAACACCAAUAAACUCCAGGUGGUGCUAGUUUUUAAUCAGAUGCACAUUGCAGAGCUGCAUAGAAACCAGAGCAGCCAGCAGUAUACAACAGGUUUAAAGAGUAACAUAUUAUAGACAAUUGCUUUUAAACUGAAUGAUUGCAAAAAAAGCAAUGGAUCAUACUUUGACCCGAUACCAGUGGGUUCCCUGGCACAGCAAGCAUAUAAGAUACUUACAGCACAGAGAUUUGAUGGACAUCGUAUGCUGGCAGUUCUCGGUGACAAUGAAAGAACGCAUGCAGAUGACAAAGAGGUUCCCAAAACAGGUGACACAGGCCAUCACCCACACAAAGACACGGAGCAAGAUGUUGGCCAGAAGGUUCUCAAAGGAAGAGAUGCCAUCACUUUUGGGAUUACAGCUGCGCACGUGAGGAGCAUAACUGCAGUACUGGAACUUUUUAAAAUAGCUUUGGGAAGAGAAGUACAAAAUUUGUUAAAGGAAAGUCUUGAAGAACACAUAGGGAAAAACACAAAGUAUGCUGAUACUAGAGCAGAUUUUCAAUUUCUGGGUGCUUAUGGCUGUACACCUAACAGGCAAAUCCAUGGAUGCUGCUCUUACCAUACAGAAUGGUAUAUCUGCUUGUACCCUGUCUGCCCAUUAAAGGUAACGUUCAAUGUUCAUUACUAUUCUAUUAUAUCGUAAUCUUCUAAUUCUACUUCUGCUAAUCUUCAAAUCUCUCUGGCAUUGGAACUGAGAAGAGGCAUGCUUUCUCUUGAUCCAGACCCUGUCUACUACAGUUUUUCUUUUCCUUUUUUACAAAGACAAAUGUAAAAAAAUAUAUAGUCCAUUAAUUAAUUGCCUAGAGGAUCCCUUUUCAAUACACAUA